UGUAACUUUGGCUGGCACUCUGCAGAGGCAAGGGGAGCUGCAGGUUCAGUCGCAGCCCCUCCUACGUGUGCUAUUACUUGUCAAACACAAAGCGAAGGGAAUGUAAUCAUCUGCCCGUGCUUGAAGUCCCCAUAUUGGCCCAGCCUUUCCUGGGGAAAGCUUAUCCCUCUACCAGAAGACAGAAGACAGAAGAAAGGUAUUUAACAGGACAAUCCCUAUACACAGAUUUAGGCUACACUUGAGAUGCAAGCCAAAGAAUGAAGAAGUAGCAUCUGAUAGGGGAAGAAGCCCAUUGGAAGAGUGUGCAUUAGCAAAUCAAUAUCCCAAUUGCCAUGCUGGCGCCUCCAAAACUUCCCAUUCACGCU
rnacentral:lncRNA from 1 species